ACCCAGCUAGCUAAGUCAGUAGAGCAUGUGACUUUUGAUCUCAGGGUUAUGAGCUUGACCCCCAUAUUGGGUG
rnacentral:tRNA from 1 species